AAUAACACCCUCUUCAACAAGAAAGAGGUGCAUGUAAGCUUCAACUUGAACUUCUCAAAAGAUAGGAGGAAAUCCUCAGUAGACCUAACUGGACUUGAGAGUGUCUUUCAGAUGAAGAAUCCAUCAACAAAAAUCUGUGCCUCUGAUCUAUUUUUAUUUCACUUUUUUUAAAUUUUUUUUUAUCAAUUUAGUAUUCUGAGACCACACUCCCCAAACACCUUCUUCUCAGCCUGCAGCUUGACUACAGAGAUAUCGAGUAUUUGACUCCACCUAUCCUCUUUCCCUAAGCAGCCUGGCCUCAUUUUUGGUAUGAUCCCUUCCUGCAAUGUAAUCAAAGCUCUUGAAACCACUUGCUCUCUGGUGACCUGGAAUCUCUCUACUGGCAAAAGCAGUAGAGUAGAACGCUUAUGAGCAUGCUGUGAUCUGGAAGCUGUUGUUCAUAUGAGUUUUCAGGAUUUCAGGUUCUCCUCAUCUGACAUGAAUGCAAUCAGAUGAAAAGAGUGAGCAAACACAAACUAGAGGCUUGAUUCUGGAAAAGUUUACUCUCUGAUCAAGAGCUUACUUUUAUAAAAAGCCCCAGUGAAAUCAAUGGGCUAAGCAUGACAGUAAACAUACUACAUAUUCGUAAGUCUUCGUAAGAACUAUAGGCUAAAGCUGGACUAUAUACUAAAACAUUUAGUUACAUGUAUAAUAAGAUAGAUAACACUGAUGUUCAAGUCAGUGCUUUUCUCUCUUGAAAAAGGCAGCUUUCUAGGACAAGGUCAGAAAUACUCACGAUUUCAAAGAAUGUAGCCCCCAUAUAUUAUUUUGUCUUAUAUAAAACAUAGGCCAUUUAUACAGAUUCAAUAGGAGAGACUAAUAAUUCUGAUUACAAUGUCUGAUAACUUUUCAUUUGGUUCUUCAUCAAUAACUACUGUAUAUCACAUUUAUAUACAAGCAUCUGUUCUUUUCU